AGCGAACGCUGGCGGCAGGCUUAACACAUGCAAGUCGAGCGGGCACUUCGGUGUCAGCGGCAGACGGGUGAGUCACACGUGGGAACGUACCCUUCGGUUCGGAAUAACGCUGGGAAACUAGCGCUAAUACCGGAUACGCCCUUUUGGGGAAAGGUUCACUGCCGAAGGAUCGGCCCGCGCCUGAUUAGCUAGUUGGUGGGGUAAUGGCCUACCAAGGCGACGAUCAGUAGCUGGUCUGAGAGGAUGAUCAGCGACACUGGUACUACGACACGGCCCAGACCCCUACGGGAGGCAGCAGUGGUGAAUAUUGGACAAUGGGCGCCAGCCGGAUCCAGCCAUGCCGCGUGAGUGAUGAAGGCCUUAGGGUUGUAAAGCUCUUUUGUCCGGGACGAUAAUGACGGUACCGGAAGAAUAAGCCCCGGCUAACUUCGUG
rnacentral:rRNA from 1 species